rnacentral:rRNA from 1 species
GAUGAACGCUGGCGGCGUGCCUAAUACAUGCAAGUCGAGCGAACGGACGAGAAGCUUGCUUCUCUGAUGUUAGCGGCGGACGGGUGAGUAACACGUGGAUAACCUACCUAUAAGACUGGGAUAACUUCGGGAAACCGGAGCUAAUACCGGAUAAUAUUUUGAACCGCAUGGUUCAAAAGUGAAAGACGGUCUUGCUGUCACUUAUAGAUGGAUCCGCGCUGCAUUAGCUAGUUGGUAAGGUAACGGCUUACCAAGGCAACGAUGCAUAGCCGACCUGAGAGGGUGAUCGGCCACACUGGAACUGAGACACGGUCCAGACUCCUACGGGAGGCAGCAGUAGGGAAUCUUCCGCAAUGGGCGCAAGCCUGACGGAGCAACGCCGCGUGAGUGAUGAAGGUCUUCGGAUCGUAAAACUCUGUUAUUAGGGAAGAACAUAUGUGUAAGUAACUGUGCACAUCUUGACGGUACCUAAUCAGAAAGCCACGGCUAACUACGUGCCAGCAGCCGCGGUAAUACGUAGGUGGCAAGCGUUAUCCGGAAUUAUUGGGCGUAAAGCGCGCGUAGGCGGUUUUUUAAGUCUGAUGUGAAAGCCCACGGCUCAACCGUGGAGGGUCAUUGGAAACUGGAAAACUUGAGUGCAGAAGAGGAAAGUGGAAUUCCAUGUGUAGCGGUGAAAUGCGCAGAGAUAUGGAGGAACACCAGUGGCGAAGGCGACUUUCUGGUCUGUAACUGACGCUGAUGUGCGAAAGCGUGGGGAUCAAACAGGAUUAGAUACCCUGGUAGUCCACGCCGUAAACGAUGAGUGCUAAGUGUUAGGGGGUUUCCGCCCCUUAGUGCUGCAGCUAACGCAUUAAGCACUCCGCCUGGGGAGUACGACCGCCAGGGUG